rnacentral:rRNA from 1 species
GACGAACGCUGGCGGCGUGCUUAACACAUGCAAGUCGAACGGAAAGGCCCUGCUUUUGUGGGGUGCUCGAGUGGCGAACGGGUGAGUAACACGUGAGUACCCUGCCCUUGACUUUGGGAUAACUUCAGGAAACUGGGGCUAAUACCGGAUAGGAGCUCCUGCUGCAUGGUGGGGGUUGGAAAGUUUCGGCGGUUGGGGAUGGACUCGCGGCUGAUCAGCUUGUUGGUGGGGUAGUGGCUUACCAAGGCUAUGACGGAUAGCCGGCAUGAGAGGGUGACCGGGCGGAAGGGGAGUGAGACACGGCCGAGCCCCAUACGGGAGGCAGGAGGGGGGAAUAUUGGGCAAUGGGCGAAAGCAUGACCAAGCCAUGCAGCGUGAGUGAUGAAGGGCUGAGGGUUGUAAAGCUCUUUUACACGGGAGGAUAAGGACAGUAACGGGAGAAUAAGCUCCGGCUAACUCCGUG